rnacentral:rRNA from 1 species
AGUGAACGCUGGCGUUAGGCCUAACACAUGCAAGUCGAACGGCAGCACAGGAGAGCUUGCUCUCUGGGUGGCGAGUGGCGGACGGGUGAGGAAUACAUCGGAAUCUACUCUGUCGGGGGGAUAACGUAGGGAAACUUACGCUAAUACCGCAUACGACCUACGGGUGAAAGCAGGGGACCUUCGGGCCUUGCGCGAUUGAAUGAGCCGAUGUCGGAUUAGCUAGUUGGCGGGGUAAAGGCCCACCAAGGCGACGAUCCGUAGCUGGUCUGAGAGGAUGAUCAGCCACACUGGAACUGAGACACGGUCCAGACUCCUACGGGAGGCAGCAGUGGGGAAUAUUGGACAAUGGGCGCAAGCCUGAUCCAGCCAUACCGCGUGGGUGAAGAAGGCCUUCGGGUUGUAAAGCCCUUUUGUUGGGAAAGAAAUCCAGCUGGCUAAUACCCGGUUGGGAUGACGGUACCCAAAGAAUAAGCACCGGCUAACUUCGUGCCAGCCGCCGCGGUAA